rnacentral:lncRNA from 1 species
CCUGCCGCCCGUUUUGCCCGCGGGGAAGCCGAGGCCCGGCGCCGUAUCCUGCCGCCCGUUUUACCCGCGAGGAAGCCGAGGCCCGGCGCCGUAUCGUGCCGCCCGUUUUGCCCGCGGGGAAGCCGAGGCCCGGCGCCGUAUCCUGUGGCCGUUUUACCCGCGGGAAAGUCGAGGCCCGGCGCCGUAUCCUGCCGCCCGUUUUACCCGCGAGGAAGCCGAGGCCCGGCGCCGUAUCCUGCCGCCCGUUUUACCCGCGGAGACGCCGAGGCCCGAUGCCGUAUCCUGCCGCCCGUUUUACCCGCGGGAAAGCCGAGGCCCGGUGCUGUAUUCUGCCGCCCAUUUUACCCGCGGGGAAGCUGAGGCCCAGUGCUGUUUAAUAUCUUACUCAUGUUCACUUGAUGAGAAAGUGACAGAUCUGAGACAAACCCAGUUCUAGAGGUUAUGACACCAGCCAUGGAAGAGCAGAGAGGCCAAUGAGGUGGGGAGGUUGGAAACAAAAGGCCUUCUCCACCCCAGCUUGACCAACCCAAAAGCUGGAAGGCAAGGAAGACCUAGAUCGACAGAAAAGAAAUGAGUCAACGAUGGUGCAGGAUCUGGGGGUUUCUUCAAGCUCCCAGACUUGCUCAGGCACAUUGCAAAUAGCCAUGAUUUGAGAUGAUUUUCUUUAAUGCUGAAGCAGAUGAAGAACCCAGGUUCUUUUUAGUGGCAAGGCUUGUUUAUCAGCAGCUAUACAGCUAUGGGCACAGACACAGGUAAACAGCACAGAUGCUGGGAGAGGGCUGGCAUCUGACCGUGACCAUCACGCCCAUGUGACAAAGGAUGUCACCACAGUGAACAGUUCUGACCACAGUGGCUUUUCACCUGCUUCGUUAAAUUUAACUCACACCGGCUCAGAGGACAAUUUGAUUCAUUCUGUAUCUCAGCAGAAACCAGAGCACCUCAGAAGAUCAAGGCUUCCAAAUUCUCCUGGGGGAACAGACGUCAGCCAUUCAGCACAAAGGAAACUUCCUUCUCUGUAUGUCAGAGGAAGACAUAAUUGUGCCAUUUCCUUCUUGAAGAAGUUUACAAACAUUUGCAAGUUGUCAAAAAUAAUUAGUCUAAAAUUGUUUCAUAAACCGUGGAAUGAAACAGGACGUGCCUUGUUGAGAUCAAAGGGCUUCUGUUACCUUCUUGUAAACUCAA